CCUAGUCAAGGCUCAACUUACUCUCCAGAGCGUCUUAGCUUAGAGCCUUAGAGUCAUAUCCGCCGCUCAGUAGCAGACUAGCUUCGUCCGGACCGGCAGCCAUGAACUCGCACAGAUUAGGCCACUUUCUUCUUCUCUAUUCCAGUUCCCCACUCUCGUCCAUAAGCCUAAUCCACCAAACCUCAGCCGCCUUCCUCCAAAUUCCAAAACAUCCCUAAACUCGAUUCCGAUUCAGGAACUUGAGCAAAUCGAUUUGGUCAUAUCAAUUGCUCAGCCAAAUUCAGCAAUGCCGUCGAGGAGAGGAGUCGAUUGCUCGCACCAGCUUCUCGAGUUUUUGAUACCAUGUCGGACUCUCUGUUUGACCAGCGCCACCAUCGACGGUAACGAACCUACCACUUUCUUCACAAUCGAGCUUGCACCUUGAAGGAGGGCUUCGAUCCGGACAACAACUGAAUAUGCAUGUAUAUAUAUGUGUCCAGUUGGUUCCUUAUUUGGUUGCCAUGAAAAAGCCUAUUUCUCCUCUUGAUCAAACACUGCUAACUGCUUCAGUUUUUGUAGCCUUAGUGGCUUAGUGCCUCAGUCACUCGGUGUAAUUUCAAUUUCAAUUAUAGGACUUGAUCAGUGAGAAUAUGAGUUUAAGUUUAAGUGGGAUUUGUCAUUAUUUCUAAUUAUCUCAGGUUCUGAAAUCUCAAAGACUCAAGGUAUUCAGUCUUUUU